rnacentral:rRNA from 1 species
UACGUAGGGUGCGAGCGUUGUCCGGAAUUAUUGGGCGUAAAGAGCUCGUAGGCGGUUUGUUGCGUCGGCUGUGAAAUCCCGAGGCUCAACCUCGGGUCUGCAGUCGAUACGAGCAAACUAGAGUGUUGCAGGGGAGACUGGAAUUUACGGUGUAGCGGUGAAAUGCGUAGAUAUCGUAAGGAAGACCAGUGGCGAAGGCGGGUCUCGUGGACAGUUCCUGACGCUGAGGCACGAAGGCCAGGGGAGCAAACGGG